AGGUUUUUUGGCUGCUGAGCUCAUCAAGCCUAGGGACUCCAAUACAGCAGAGCACGAGAUGGUGGUUACUCUGGAAGAGAACAGCGCACUCUGUGAAUGGGAAUCGUGGGAGCUACAAGGAGCUGGCUUGGAGGCAGAUGGGGCUCUAGUACUGUACCCCAAAAUACAAAUUGAUCUACAACAUGUAAGGGGAGGGGGUUCCUAAUCCCAGACCACACUACUUCAUGAGAGGUAAGGGUGAAGAUUGGAGCAUCUCAGCAGCUGUAAAUCUCCACAGCUCAAGGGGAGUUGACAAACUACCUCGUGGAGCCAGUUCAGUCUGUCCCCAAGUCUCCCUUUUACCCUGUGAAGUGCAGCUGACACCAGUGACCGGAGGAGGAGGAGUCCUCCAUAGCUGUGAAGAUGCAUUAAUUACCCUUGGUAUGACACUGUUCUUCACAUGGGCUGAGUAAAUGUUGACUCUCCUUUCUCAUUUCUUGCAGAUAUAGUAACAAGUCAGACUUGUUUUAUUCUGGGGAACAGGCUCUUAUCUGAACAGUAGGUGACGUGCAAGGAAAACGUCAGGCGACUUAGCUAGCAGGGAAAGGCAGGCCAGCUGUAGAAGGGGCACACACAUGAAGGGCACUAACUCAGGGAAAACCAAGCCUGGAUACAGGUAGGUACUAUUAUUUAGCUCUUUAGAUAGAGAUGCUAUCGUGUGGCCUCAGUGUAGGUCCAUUGGAGUCAAUGGAGUUGUAGUGAUACACAGCAGCUGGGGAUCUGGGCCAUGGCCCUCUAAUGCAUUUACCUCAUUUCUGGAGCUGAUCCUGUUUUGCUUUUUCUCUUACACCAAAGUGUUUGGUACCUUUAAAUUAAUAGAUCGCUUCCGUAAUCUAUAGGAAAGAGCACCCUGCCCGGUGAGUAAUAUGUAACUGCUUUGGGCGACUCUUAUGUUAUCUCUCCCUGUGUUAAUAGAAGUGGUAUCGAUUACUUUUCUUAACUGCUGGGUGUGAGGGGGAAAGUGAGUCAACACCAUCCUUCCCUUUUCAAAAUUCCUUGACAAAAACAAGUGGGGAAACUUUAAACAUGUUUAACAAGAAACUGGUGGGUUUCUGUUUCAAACAUUAGAAGAGCCCGUCUCUAGGCAUACGGCCAACAUAAGUAAUUCAAAGGCUUGCACUUCACAUAAAGAACCCAAAUAAGUGUGUGCCCCUUACCAAACAGCAGCUCCUCAGCUGUAUCAUAUCUUCUCCCCUAAGGGGCAGCUAAUAGGUUUGUAACACAGGUGCUCAGCCUUUUGUGUGCAUUACAUAAAGCUUGCAAGGCAAUCAAGUGAAAAUAAAACACCACAGGCCCCACCUCAUGCAGCACUCAUGUUUCUGUGAUGGUCUAAGCCAGGGGCAGGCAACCUAUGGUGCACACAAGCUUAUUUUCAGUAGCACUCACACUGCCUGGCCACUGGUCAGGGGGUUCUGCAUUUUAAUUUAAUUUUAAAUGAAGUGACUUAUUUAUGAUACUCAUUUAGUUAUAUAUUUUAGAGACCUUCUAAAAAUGUUAAUUUAUUACUGGCAUGUGACUAAAUGAAGACUCAGCCCACCGCUUCUGAAAGAUUGCCAGCCCUUGGUCUAAGCUCAUCCAGCUGCCUGAUCAGGGUGCAGGAGCCUGGCUGUAUAACCAUGUAUACAAACUUAAUUGAACCUCAACUCCUUGUGCACAGAACAGCAGUGAACUCACUGUGCCUUAGGGGGGACUGUAGGCUUCAGGACUAUGCAGGCAGGGGAGCUGUUCUGACCAUACAUUUUCAGAAGCCAAAGUUGGGUUCCUAACUACUAUUUGAUUUUAAAAAUACUCACACCUGAUUAACCCAUCAUAGGGACUCAGAGCAUGCAGCAGUGCAUUAAGGAAUGAGGCACAGAUGGAUUGGGGGCUAAGUAAAAAGUAGCUUAACUUAUUUGGAAGGCAUGGCCAUUAUAAACUCCCUGGGUGAGACAUCGUCCAGUGGUGGCAGGGCCUUGAUGCUUAAGCACAUGCAUCAAUUUUAUUCUCAAAUGAGGGCUUGAGAGGGAGUUAAGUAAGGCCUAAGCCUCGAGGUGACUUUCAGCUGGGGUCAGCUGCUUCUACUGAAGUCACAUAGGCCACGAUCCUGUUCCCAUUGAAAUGAGGGCAAGGUGUGCCAUUAGCAGCACAAUGAGAAUCUCUCAUCCUAUGCUUCAUAUAGAUCAAAGCAGUAUCCUCUUACCCUUGAAACAUCACAGCCUGACCACACGGUGCUAGAAAAUUGGGUUCAUCUCUGCUCAUCAGUAACAGUCACAUUUUACUAAAGUGGUAACAAAAAUCUGUGGAAGAAAUGAAAUAUUAAUGGAGUCAGGCCUUAAUCCAGCAAUGCACUAACCCUGUGUUUAAACACUUCCUGGAUUGAGGCCUGCUGUUCUAAACUUAAUAUAUUUCAAACAUUUUCUGUAGGUGGUUGCUUCUGAGCAAGUCUGUUCCAGGUACAGGGCUUUAACUCCACCCUCAGGUUCUCUCCCCAUCUUCUACCACUCCUUCAGUAGGAGGAGAGUACAAUUUCAGCCAGCUAAACUUAAUACCAGGACUAGUAAACAUUCAUGACAAUUUUGUACAGCUGAUUUAAAUAUUUCCUUGCUGUAUAAGCACAAAUCUACUUAAUCAGAUUGAAGAAAGGGUUGUUUUGUCACUCCAAACCCAGCCAAAAAAACCUGUACUUCUGAAAAAGCACGUAAGCAAGUUUGGGAACGACAGUGGCUUUUAUUCUGUAAACAAGAAAGGAGGCAAUGUAAAAUACUCUGCAUUCCCUUUAUCACUCCACACUGAAAUACAGCAUUGAUUUGUGGUCAGGAGCAAUGCACAGCCACAGUUUGGCAGCAAGUGAUUAAAAAAACCUCCCCACAAUACACCUAAAAUGACAAUCAUAAUGAACCGAGCCACUGACGCUAGAGGGCACUCGACUUACAUGUGUAAACUAAGUUACUUUUUGGCACUUUUCAAACUCUUCGCUGUUGAAUCCGCUUCUGAAGUAGACAAGUGAAAAAGUUUAUGCACAUGUCCCACAGCAAGACUACAUAAAGCAUGUAAAAAUAGUUACUGGAUGGGCUUCACAUACUUAAAAAUAGUCUUCUCCUCAAGCAGCAAUCUGUGUGGCUGGACUUUGUAGGAAAAGAUCUCAUUUUGCACAUGAAGAGGCAGAAGAUCAACUGAAAACAACUGAACAAAUUCCAUCAACCUGACAGUAUCAAAUAGCAGCUCUCUCUGCUCAUGCCACUUCAUACUUAAAAAUAGUGAUCCCUGUCCAAGGAACUGGUUUAAAAUGCACAGGCGUGCACAGCUUUCAGAGUAGCCAGAUCAGGAUGUUUGUCAGAGAGCGUUAAAGUCAAGUCUACUACUCAGCAAUCCUCUAUUAUUGCACACUCAUUCUGUCCGUGAUCCGUAAGGUUCUUAUUUAUCAAGAGCAGUGUGCAGGUGAUGGCAAAAGAAAAAAAGUUCCCAAUGUAAUAAUAUCUGUGAUAGCAUCUAAGUUCUCUGUUCCACUUAUUCUGUCUCUUUGUGGUAAUGAAAAUCCUGUAGAAGACAUACCGGUCAGCAUUGGGGAGCAAACAGACCCUUAGAGCUACGCACCUCCCUGACCCACGCUUUAAAGAGCAAGGUGGAGAUGAUGGAAGAAUGAGGUAACUCUUCUCCCAACAGGUGUGUACGUGGCCCGCUGGCUCUUCUAAUGCCCAUUAGGAGAAAGGGAGUGGGGGCUUGGCAAGGUGACCAUUACAUAAAGAAGAAGCUACAGAAGGAAGAAGAAAAAAAGGUUCAGAAUUCAACUGAAAGGAAAAAAGAAAAUGAAACAUUUUAAAGGAAGUAAGCUGUGAAGGAGAGAGAGCGUGCAUAUGUGAAGGGUUUAAUACGCAGCAGGAGCGGUGCAAGGGGCUGGGCCCACCAAGCCACUGUUUAGUGAACAGGGGAAGAGGAGCAAGGAAUGGGGUUUUAAAAAAGGUAAAAUGAAUGCUACCAUUGUGAACCGCCUUAGCACAGCCCGAAAGCAAUCAACCAAAGAACAAGAAAUGUCUAUGUCAACAUCAAGCAAGCAUGAAAACGUCACCCUUGGCAUUCACACACGUCCACUUCUUUUUCACCCAACAUCCAACAACCACAACAAAAGAAAGUUACAAAGGCCACACAAAAACUAGUGUUUGGGUAAAAAUAUAUUUCCCCUUUCCCGCUUUGUGUGUUGGCAUUAUUUCACAUUUGCACCCCAGAGCACAUACAUAAAAAGGAACUGAACUAUGGUGGAAGGCUAUGAUUCAUUUUGAACUUCAAAAAUGAAAUAUUUUGACAUCAAUAAGACAUCUAAGAGGCAUACAUAUAUAAUUCUGCAUUAACACUGGCUGAAGGUAUACAGUCAUUUGGACAAAAACAUGGGUUAUCUUCAAAGAGCAAGGUAACAAUGUUCUACACCUCUAGUUUAAGGCCAUCAGCAUAUAUUUAAAAAUAAGUACACAAAAUAUUCCUACUGCUGUUCACAGCUUUAUUUUCAGUUAGUUUAAAAAAAAACCACCCUUCAUAUUUGUAUAAUCCCAUACUGUCACACCCUGGCCCUUAGGGCCUCAUAGAUGAUAUAUACUGUAAAUGCAGUUGGGCUCCUUGGAGAAAGGAUGUGACAGGAAUAAGCUGUUUCUGACACCUUGAGAAUGGCAAAUCACAACAUGAUUCAAAUGGACAGAUUUGAUAACACACACAAGACAUUGCUGUAUUCCGUCACAAUAGUUUAAAAGUAGAAUGAGAACUAUUUGAAAAAAACCCAUUGAUUGUGUUAAAUAAAAUAAGGCUUUUUUUUUUUAAAGACACAAAUACAAAAGUCUUCCUGACAGGGUUAUACUAUACAAGGCAGCAAAAGGAUAAGUGAUCUUGUAUUUAGGAAAUCUCCCAGUAGCUAGGAACACAGAGAGCCUGGCUUGGCAGCUGAGAGGAUGCAUUCUGCAGAUCAGUACCUUGGCCAGUUUUCACUAGUUGGUUCAAAUUCCGGCUUGGAGACACCACUGAGUGGAAUACCUUGUAAUUCCCCCUUUCCCAUCAGCCACAAAGAUGACAUAUCACCCCAUACUGAAAGAUGACAUGGAUUUUGGUCCAGUGGUAACGUUUGGUUUUGUUUUAUAACUCUGGGCAUGAUUGGAUAUACUCAGGUUGCCAUAGUUACCACUGAGGAUAAGCACAGUCAAGGUUCUUAUAUAACAUAUUAUAGAGUGGGAUUUUCCAGAGCCCUCAGUGUUGGCCUAACUCUGCUCCUUAAAGCAUGAAGGGGAGUUUCCCCAUGGAUUUAAAGAGGAGCAGUGAGGCCAAUAUUGAACAACGACCCCUUUAAAACCGAAGAGAUGUCAAGUCAGUGGGAAUCAGGUGCCUAAUCUGUGCUUUUGAAAGUCAACCCCCAAUACUCACAACAGUGCAUUUUGGAACAAGUAUCACCCUUCCCAGGUGGCCAGUGUGUCAUUCAGACUUCGCCUAUGGGUUUUACUCCACAUCCAGGGAGUGCUUUAAUAUGCAGAUCUGCACUCUCCCUUGUUUGUUCCUGCUCAUUUAUAACAUCCUAAAAAUGGACAUCCCAGCACCUCUGGGAAAUGCAGCAUUAUCAGUGACUAGUCAUUGCUGUUUAAACAUCCUACCAUUUGCAGAUCCUCACAAGCACGAUUUAGGGUUACGUAGCUGUCAUCAAAAGCUAACGCUACCUUAAGCUGGAAUUUUCAAAUGAGUUAGGGGUCCCUAAUAGCCAGUAGGAGCUGGUGCCUAACUCCCUUUGGCUCCUUUGAAAAUCCCAGCUGAAGAUGGUUAUUGUUUAAUAAAAAGUUUUUUAAAACCCCUCAGCAUUGCCACUUGUAGAAAACUCAACUUUCAUUCAUUUCAAAAGUGGGCAGAGAGGUCUCUUGCUGCUGUACUUACAUGCAAAGGUGAAAGAAAGCACAUCCAACUAGAUUUGAGGUAUCACUUAUUCCGUGCAGAGCCAGGGACUACUGUGAAAAAAGGCAUAGAUACAGAAAGGAAAGAAGUGCAGCAGUAACAAGCUAAACAUGGCCCAGGGAUUUUUAAAAGUUAGUGUGCCAUUGGGCAAAAAAAAAAAAUAAAAAAAAUUAAAUUUAAAAUUUUAUUCCCAGCUUCUCCAAAACGAUGUUUUGUUUUGUUUUUUGCUAAAAAGAGAAACAAACCAAUCCCUCCCCCCAACAUUUAAUACAUUUGGCAACAGUUUUGUGUCCAAAAUACCUAGUCUCAGCUAAUUUUCUCUGCCAAGCUUCCCUUGAAAGGGUUUUUAAACUGAACAAGAGAAACUAAUGUUAAAAUUAAGUUCUCUUACUUGGCACAAAAAACCCCCACCUGUGUUAAUUAAAAAUAGGACACGCACAGACACAGCUGAUGGAAGCACACUACACAAGCUUUAAACUUGAGCAUAUUGCAUGAUCAAAUGCAGCCCAUGGUUAGGAAACUGGUUUCAUGUGUUCAAUACCAAGUGAGUUUAUAAGGUUAAGCUGAAGCAAAACUGCAAGGAUCUCUGAUUUUUACUACUAUUUAACCUGGCUUCUGCAACUGUCAGUCCUUCCAAUGAUUGUGUUCACAUGACAACUUAGCUUGAAUUUCAAAAGUUUCUUCCCUGCUUUUCCUCUGCUUAAAUUUAUGCAGUUUGUCCAGCCACCCUUUCCCCUCCCUAAGAGCCAUGUUUACGCAGUGGGGGGUGGGGGGAAAAGAGAACAAAACAGCCCCCCACAAACCUGCCUUUGUGGCUGUAGUUACAUGACCCCUGUGCUUGGGUAGAAACAAGCAAAGUUGGAAUGUGUGGGAUCAGGUGAAGAGGGUUAAUCUCAAGAGUGCUUUAAAGAAAGAAACAGGAGACUACCUAGCUAGGAGCAGAGGGAAAGCUGGCAGAUCAGCAGCAGCAGAGAAAGAAAUCCAGAAGUCAUAGAGUAAACAUGGGUCGCCACUUCUUGGAAUGUAUCAGAAAGGAAAAGACUCUGUCCAAAAAGGAAUAGCAUAGAAAAUACAAAUUAAACAGUUAGGUCAAUUUUCACACCAAAUACGCCCUAAAAAAAGGCCUGGCUUAUGCUAGACAUUCAGUCACCGGUUUUUAAUGCAAACUAUUGUUUGCAUCCCAAGCCUUAGCCAGCUGCGCAGAACUGAUCAGUGCAUUGAUGUUGCCUUUGUCAAGCAAGAUAGCUAUAUCUUAGCCCGGUAAAGAGAGCGAACAGCCUUAUUCUCCGCUUUAGGAGCCCAGAGAAACUGAAGUUAAUGGAGUUUUAAUUAAUUCCUUUAAUGGUUCACUGGCACUUACCAACAGAAGACACUAUGUUCCAAGACUGAUCCUGCAACCACAUAAGCAUGUGCAAAAAUUUACUCCUGUAAGGACUCCUACUAACGUCAAUUGAACUAUAUUGCAUGAGUAAAGUUACUCUUGUGCUUAUGCAUUUGCUGGAUGGGGCCCUGCAGGAAUCAACGAAGUGUGGAGGGGUGACACUUUUACUCAGGCAAUCUGUGGAAAGUGUAUUCAAGUUUUGGGAUGGGAUUCAGUCACCUGGUUAGUUUUUGAUGGGGGACUCUUGAUUUCAAAGCAAUAGGGGAGGGGGAACCUCCUGUCUUGGGAAUUUGCAGCUCCUUUUGAUGCACACUGCACAGCUUUUAGUGGUUAGCCACAACACUUAAUAGAGAAGAGUUAUUGCAAAAAUAUUUAACCUGUUGGGUGAAUUACAAAAAGCCAGGCCAAAAGUCAUUAUCCAUAAGGUAAAAAAGUCAUGCAAGAAUAAAAGCAUGCAAGGUCAGUUGCUCUUUUGUUACCUACACACACAAAAACCUAACAAUGGGAUUUCUAGUCUUACAAGUCAAGCUAUCAAAGAAACACUCAUUUAAGUGGACUUCUGGGUUUAGCAAUACACUGGGGAGACUCUGGCUAAGUCUGCAUUGAUUUUAUUCGCAUUGAAUAGUAACUCACUCAUAACUAAGCCCCCAGGUUUCCGUGGGAGUACUCGUGCUAUUCAGUGCGAGUAAAGGGAAUCACAGUUUGGCCUGUUGAGAGCAGUGUGUGCAAACAAGUAACAGCAGCAUUUAAGGCCUGAUCCUGAAACCCUUCCAAUGUCUUUAAGUGCCCUUGGAUCAAGCCAAUGACGCACAAGUCUUGCUCUCAAUUCAAAGCCAAGUGGCAGGUCUGAUCUAUUGCUGCUGUCCUUACCAAAGAGAAAUGGCAUCAACUUUUCAAACAAGAACACCCCUCUCCCCUCCCCCACACACUCAAUUUCCAGAUGCUCACUGCUUCACCCACCUUUCUCCCACCCACUCCAUUAUUAAAUGAGUUAAUAGUUAUUUGUGUUUAAAACAAAAACAAAAACCGAACAGAUGGCAGACACACGUUACUGCAAAAGCAGGUGAAUGCAGGAACAUCCUUGGCUUGCCAGGCUUUAUGUGAAGCUUGCACUGCAAGUUAAAAAAACAAAAACAAAAAACAUUAGAAAUAAUAGAAACCCAAAAGAAAAAGAAAGAAAGCAAGCUGGGAGAGCUGACACCAGCAUUCUGCUUCGGUGGACGCCCAUGCAAAUGGAUUAUGAAAUUAAAAAGGAGUGAAACAAACCUUAAAAUUGGAGUCAAUUCUAUUCUAUAUGACAAGCAAAAGCAAAGAAAAACUGAGUGGAGAAAAACAAACCAACCACAUAGUUAGUCCAAACUAGGUUACUGUUUGAUAGUGACUUAGGCCAAUAUUUUCAGAAGUGGCUAGUGAUUUUGCAUGCCCAACGUAAGACACCUUAAAAGGGAUUCUGAUUUUCAGAGAGCGGAUGCUUCACAUUUUCUGAAAACCAGGCCCCUUUAAGACAUCUCAAGUUGGGCACUUUAAGGUCAAUCAUCACUUUUGAAAAUGUAGCCGACCGGUCUGAUCCCGAUCCCACUGAAAUCAGCUGGAGUCUCUCUUCAGUGGGUGUUGUCCCAGGCCCCAAUUGAACACCCUGCAUGGUGUAGUUUAAGGACUUCUACCAGGACUGAAUACGGCCUAGUAUAUUUGCACCGGUUUGAAAAUUCCUUUCAUUAAAGGAAGAGAAGUUUCUUGUACUGUUUUACAAAGUGACUUUACAUUAAAGAAGCCAAACAAAAGAGUUCUAACUCCUGUGCCUGUCUGAGAAAUGGCAGGUAAUACAAUGCACGCAUCUAGGUACGCAGCUGACGACCUAUUCAAUGGAACAGGCAAGAGCCAAGAAGCAUUUCACUGAUCUUACUAAAAAGGACCCACUCUGGUUAGACAUGUGCCAUGACCACACUCGUUGCCAUCAAAUGCCUCUGGAACAUUUAGGUAUGAAGAAAUGCCAAGGCCACAACUAAGAUUAUGGGAUCAGGAUGGGAUUUAGGCAAGCACUUAAGCACAUGGCUGUACAGCACCUAGCACAGUGGGGCCUGGUCUACAAAUAGGGCCCCUAGGUGGUAAUGAAAAAGUUAAUAAUAAUAUACCUCGAACGCCAAGGGAACUUAUGCCCAUGCUUAAGUGCUGUCCCCACUCAAAAUUCUUUCCUCAAUCAGGGCUAUCAACAUCAACAAAUGUUAGAAAAAUGUCUGUAAAUUGUAGAUGUCCAAUUCCACUCAUGAAUCCAUCAGAAAAACCACAGUAAAAAGGAAGUAAUAAGGACAGUGGUUUAUUCUCAUGGGAUGGGACCAAAUUCUCUCCAGUGGAGUUAGGCCAGCAGAGAAUUUGGCCCUGUUUUAUCAUUCUGGCUUGUGCAGAAUUCUGAUAAGGUCUCAGCAGUCCAAGUUACAGAUGUGUAAUUCCACCUUUAAAAAGAAGCAGUCCAAUAAAUUGCAUUCUGGGGAAGCUACAAGGGAAAUCUGGCAGAGAGCAUUUCAGGGAUUAGCCUGACUUCCACUGGUAAUUGUAUAAAACAUCACAGUCAUGCCACCACAGUUCAAUGAUAAGAAUAAAAAACCUUACCUAUUAAAACUGUAGCAUUUCAUUAGAGUGCAAGAGGAAAUUUAAAAGUUUUAGGAACCAAGAUAUGCUACAAUGCAGAUGCAUCCGCAUUUUCCUUUCCAGCUUCUGUUACCAAUUUGAACAUCCUAAAACAAUCUGAGCAACUCCCAACAGCUGGUAUGGAAUGAUACUGAGAGCCGAGACUAUUUUAAACAUAUUUACAAAGCAAAAGUGCAUGUUCCUCAUGACUGGAUUUCUGUGGCGGAAUAGAAACCAUGUGAUUUGUAAUGGCAACUAGAAACAUGGCGUAUAUAAUACACCAAUUCCAUGCAGGUGCCCGAAAAAUUCACAGGAAUAACUAGUAGUAACAUCUACUAUUAAAAGUUACAAAACCAAACCUCACUGCAUAUAGCUUCAGUCUGAUACAGAAGAGAUGAAGAAGCCUAUUGCAGAUUUUAUAUAAAUAUUAAGUUAGCAGCGCCAUUUCAAAGAUUUCCGAGUAGGAAAAGGUCAUCAAAAGUUCCAAGUUACUUAGAAAAAAGACCAUACUAGGGGAACACAAUGUGGGAACAGCCAUGCCAGGCAGGACCCUUGUUCCAGUCUAUCCUAUUUACUGAAAACGCACAAGGGAGAAAUCUCAGCAUUCUAGGAAGGUUGCUGCCAGAUAUUAUUAGUUCUGUGCUGAUCUGCUUUUUGGAUUAUUUUAAUUAAAUGAGUUUCCAGUACACAUGAAAAUGCUGUAUUUUCUCUAUGGUCUCUGCGUAAGCUUUUAGAGCCAGAUUCUCAGCUAGAGUAAGCCAGCAUGGCUCCAUAGGAGCUACAUUGAUUUACAUCAGGUGAGGAACUGGCCCUUCAUUAUUUUAAAUGUCUUCAUUGGGCAUGACUUUCAGAGCACUGAUCCAGCAGCAGAAACCAGAGAGACACACUCUGGCUUCUGCUGGUACAAGGAUGAGAGCACGGUGCUGCUGCCCAUUGUAGAAAAAUACACUAGUGUACAUGAAAUAAAGUAGAAGCUCACUAGCUCGCUCUAGUCCUCUUAUGAAUAGUUGAAGUUAAUCAAUUAGCAAGUAAGGUCUUGCCCACACUUGAGAGUCCAUUCAGAUUAAGGUAGCAUGGGAAUUUGAAGCACACCAGCCAUUCCUGAAUAACUCCACGUGCAGACAAGCCCUAGGUGACCAAAUAAAAAGCAAAAAAUGCCACAUCAUUAAUUGCACUUCAACCAUUUUUCUUUUGUCAAUGACAGCUUAGUGUUAGUUAUUUAUGACCGUAUUUCAUAGAAUACCAGGAAAUGCCCUAUGCCAUAUGUAUAAUGCAAGACCUUGCUGGAUCAUUGGCUAUUAAACAUUUGCUGAGGUCUGGAGACAACAAAGUUUUGUGUGUGUUACUCAGCUUCUACAGUAUCACUCUUUAUAGGGUAUAUGAUUUCAGUAAAAUGAAUGUGUGUUUUUAUCUCAGGCAACCUGGGAAGAAAUCCCAGGGGAUCCCUACCCUAUCUGAGAAUGGCAGAGAGGAUCUAUUGGUACUUUUUACCCAAGACUGCCCUCAGAAUAGGUUGUCCCAUUCUGCUAUACAGACAAUCCAUUCUUAUUCUACUUCAGCUCUGUCAAACUUGUUUGGUUUCAUUGUAAGUCUCCAAUCCCGAGACAGUUUGGGGGUUUUUAAAGCCAAUAAAGGGACAAAUUCUGCCCUUGGAUACAUUCUGCCAUUUGGAAGCCCCAUAAGUAUUUGAGAGUAGAAUUUGCCUCACGAGUGUAAAUACAUAAUAGUAGAAAAUACAAUGCCAUUUAUCUUUUGCUCAAUGUAUCAGUUGUGCUAUCUUAUUAUGUUGAAUUGAUACUACGUGAAUUAAAUUAACCUGUAAUUAUAGGUACCAUAGUUUAAAAAAAAAAAAAAAAAAAAAAAAAACCUUCCAA